rnacentral:rRNA from 1 species
CACGGGGGGAGCAAGCGUUGUUCGGAAUCACUGGGCGUAAAGGGCGUGUAGGCGGUCAAGUAAGUGGGAUGUGAAAUCCCCCGGCUUACCCGGGGACCGGCAUCCCAUACUGCUUGGCUUGAGUACGGGAGAGGAUGUGGGAAUUCCUGGUGUAGCGGUGAAAUGCGUAGAUAUCAGGAGGAACACCGGUGGCGAAGGCGCACAUCUGGCCCGAUACUGACGCUAAAGCGCGAAAGCUAGGGGAGCGAACGGG